UUUAAAGAGAGUUUGAUCCUGGCUCAGGACGAACGCUGGCGGCGUGCCUAAUACAUGCAAGUCGAACGAACGGAGGAAGAGCUUGCUCUUCCAAAGUUAGUGGCGGACGGGUGAGUAACACGUGGGCAACCUGCCUGU
rnacentral:rRNA from 1 species